GAUGAACGCUGGCGGCGUGCCUAAUACAUGCAAGUCGAGCGAACAGACGAGGAGCUUGCUCCUCUGACGUUAGCGGCGGACGGGUGAGUAACACGUGGAUAACCUACCUAUAAGACUGGGAUAACUUCGGGAAACCGGAGCUAAUACCGGAUAAUAUAUUGAACCGCAUGGUUCAAUAGUGAAAGACGGUUUUGCUUUCACUUAUAGAUGGAUCCGCGCCGCAUUAGCUAGUUGGUAAGGUAACUGCUUACCAAGGCAACGAGGCGUAGCCGACCUGAGAGGGUGAUCGGCCACACUGGAACUGAGACACGGUCCAGACUCCUACGGUAGGCAGCAGUAGGGAAUCUUCCGCAAUGGGCGAAAGCUUGACGGAGCAACGCCGCGGGAGUGAUGAAGGUCUUCGGAUCGUAAAACUCUGUUAGUAGGGAAGAACAAAUGUGUAAGUAACUAGGCACGUCUUGACGGUACCUAAUCAGAAAGCCACGGCUAACUACGUG
rnacentral:rRNA from 1 species